rnacentral:lncRNA from 1 species
AGCCCUCCCAAUGGGCAAAGAUACAGGAGUCCUUAGGAACCAGCUUCCUCUAAGAAAAGAAAGAGUAUGAUCUUUGAUAUUCUCCACCUGGGACUGUUGUCCAUGGCAGGGAUGUGUCUCUGUAAAGGCCAUUGCUAAGAAGCAUGGAGCCCCUUUGCUCCUCCUGCUUGAAAUUGAUGCCCUUUCCUGCUCUAACCACCAGAGGGGAGACAUCAUCUGUUUCAUGUUCUGAUUUACACACAGGCGCUACCAAAGGCAGGAAGAGCAAUGAAGACUCUGCCCUCUCACCUUCUCUCCUCUGCUCCCUUUGGAGGAUGAAUGGGGUACCGCAAAGGAAACCUGGUUUCCAAAGGGUCAUAAAAGUGCUCCUGGAAGUCACCAUGUUUUCAUUCCUUUAAAAUGAUGAUAAACUACUUAUUAAGCCUUGGGCUAUGGACUUGGCACUGAACUGUGUUCUUUGCUAGUAUUUUCUUGUUUAAUUCUCACAACAACUCCAUGAGGUAAAUAUUAAUCUUAUGCCCAGGACAUGAGGGCAUAUAAAAGGUAAAUAACUGAUAAAUCAGUAAAAUGGGGAUUUCAAUCUAUAUUUGACCCCAAAGUCUGAAUUCUAAGCCAGCAGGUCUCAACUUUUUUGGUUGCAGGACUGCUUUACCUUAUUAAAAAUGACUAAGCGUCC